GGGGGGGUCGCAUAGUGGUCUAGUGCGCCCGCCUGCUAAGCGGGUUGGGGCUGUUGAGGUCCCUCGAGGGUUCGAAUCCCUCCCCCUCCG
rnacentral:tRNA from 1 species